AAGGCCUUCGGGUUGUAAACCGCUUUUGUCCGUGAAGAAAUAAAGCUCUUUUAAUACCUGGAGAUAAUGACGGUACCUGAAGAAUAAGCACCGGCUAACUACGUGCCAGCAGCCGCGGUAAUACGUAGGGUGCGAGCGUUAAUCGGAAUUACUGGGCGUAAAGCGUGCGCAGGCGGUCAUGCAAGACAGAUGUGAAAUCCCCGGGCUCAACCUGGGAACUGCAUUUGUGACUGCAUGACUUGAGUACGGCAGAGGGGGAUGGAAUUCCGCGUGUAGCAGUGAAAUGCGUAGAUAUGCGGAGGAACACCGAUGGCGAAGGCRRUCCCCUGGUCCUGUACUGACGCUCAKGCACGAAAGCGUGGGGAGCAAACAGGAUUAGAUACCCUGGUAGUCCACGCCCUAAACGAUGUCAASWGGUUGUUGGGAGGGUUUCUUCUCAGURRCGAAGCUAACGC
rnacentral:rRNA from 1 species